rnacentral:rRNA from 1 species
AGCAGCCGCGGUAAUUCCAGCUCCAAUAGCGUAUAUUAAAGUUGUUGCAGUUAAAAAGCUCGUAGUUGAAUUUCGGGGUUAGUAGGCUGGUCGUGCCACUGGCACGUACUGGUCUCACUGAUUCCUCCCUCUUGAAGAACUGUAAUGUUAUUAAUUUGGUGUUGCGGGGAAUCAGGACUGUUACUUUGAAAAAAUUAGAGUGUUUAAAGCAGGCUUACGCUUGAAUACAUUAGCAUGGAAUAAUGAAAUAGGACGUUUGAUCCUAUUUUGUUGGUUUCUAGGAUUGACGUAAUGAUUAAUAGGGAUAGUUGGGGGCAUUAGUAUUCAAUUGUCAGAGGUGAAAUUCUUGGAUUUAUUGAAGACUAACUACUGCGAAAGCAUUUUGCCAAGGAUGUUUUCAUUGAUCAAGAACGAAAGUUAGGGGAUCGAAGACGAUCAGAUACCGUCGUAGUCUUAACCAUAAACUAUGCCGACUAGGGAUCGGAUGAUGUUAAUUUUUUAAUGACUCAUUCGGCGCC